rnacentral:rRNA from 1 species
AUUGAACGCUGGCGGCAGGCCUAACACAUGCAAGUCGAACGAGACGCGGACGGGGGAGUAAUGACUGGGACACUGCCCGAUGGAGGGGGAUAACUACUGGGAACGGUUACUACUACCGCAUUCCAUCGGCUGUGCCCAGAUGGGAUUAGCUAGUAGGGGGGGGAACGGCUCACCUAGGCGACGAUCCCGAGCUGGUCUGAGAGGAUGACCAGCCACACUGGAACUGAGACACGGUCCAGACUCCUACGGGAGGCAGCAGUGGGGAAUAUUGCACAAUGGGCGCAAGCCUGAUGCAGCCAUGCCGCGUGUAUGAAGAAGGCCUUCGGGUUGUAAAGUACUUUCAGCGAGGAGGCGUUACUCGCAGAAGAAGCACCGGCUAACUCCGUGCCAGCAGCCGCGGUAAUAC